AUCGCUUCUCGGCCUUUUGGCUAAGAUCAAGUGUGAAAUCUGCUACUAUUAUUGUGUGAGGUGCAAUGUGUGUUUUGAGCUUUAGUAAGGUUUCUUUUACGUAUGUAGGUGCCCUUGUAUUUGCGGCAUAGAUAUUUAGGAUUG
ensembl:snRNA LOC120099534 U2 spliceosomal RNA